rnacentral:rRNA from 1 species
UGGGUAACCUGCCCUGUACAGGGGGAUAACAGGUCAGAAAUGACUGCUAAUACCGCAUAAGACCACAGCACCGCGAUGGUGCAGGGGUAAAAACUCCGGUGGUACAGGAUGGACCCGCGUCUGAUUAGCUGGUUGGUGAGGUAACGGCUCACCAAGGCGACGAUCAGUAGCCGGCUUGAGAGAGUGAACGGCCACAUUGGGACUGAGACACGGCCCAAACUCCUACGGGAGGCAGCAUG